GCUUAGCCCUAAACUUAGAUAUUUAACGCACAAAAAUAUCCGCCAGAGAACUACGAGCAAAACGCUUAAAACUCUAAGGACUUGGCGGUACCUCAAACCCCCCUAGAGGAGCCUGUUCUACAAUCGAUAAUCCACGAUCCACCUCACCAUCUCUUGCCAAUCCCGCCUAUAUACCACCGUCACCAGCCUACCCUAUGAAGGCCACAAAAGUAAGCAAAAUAACUAAAUAACAGUUAACAAGUCAGGUCAAGGUGUAGCUAACUGAGAUGGGAGAAAUGGGCUACAUUUUCUAUACUAGAAAUUAAUUCACAGAAGGGAACUAUGAAAUAAGUCCCACAAGUAGGAUUUAGCAGUAAGCCGGGAUCAGAAUGCCCAACUUAAGUCGGUCCUGAGGUGCGC
rnacentral:rRNA from 1 species